CAAAUUGAUUCAAGGAAACCAGAUGUGACAGCAGUGCGUACCCUUGUUCUCCAAGGCAUCCCUGUUCUGCUUGGUGAUGACCCCAGUAACUUCUACAACACCUCCUUUGAUUCUGACAGUGAGGAGGCUUGGGCCCAGGUAUCUGUUGGGUUGCUGAC